rnacentral:rRNA from 1 species
UACGUAGGGUGCAAGCGUUGUCCGGAAUUAUUGGGCGUAAAGAGCUCGUAGGCGGUCUGUCGCGUCGGCUGUGAAAUCCCGAGGCUCAACCUCGGGUCUGCAGUCGAUACGGGCAGGCUAGAGUUCGGUAGGGGAGACUGGAAUUCCUGGUGUAGCGGUGAAAUGCGCAGAUAUCAGGAGGAACACCAAUUGCGAAGGCAGCUCGCUGGGACGUGACUGACGCUGAGACGCGAAAGCGUGGGGAGCAAACAGG